GUAAAACGGGACGGCCCGCCAGAGGACCCCUAAACUCUGUUUCUAUAUGUAACUUCUGAGUAAAACCAUAAAUAAAUCAAAACUUUCAACAACGGAUCUCUUGGUUCUGGCAUCGAUGAAGAACGCAGCAAAAUGCGAUAAGUAAUGUGAAUUGCAGAAUUCAGUGAAUCAUCGAAUCUUUGAACGCACAUUGCGCCCGCCAGUAUUCUGGCGGGCAUGCCUGUUC
rnacentral:rRNA from 1 species